AUUGAACGCUGGCGGCAGGCCUAACACAUGCAAGUCGAGCGGAGCGGCGGACGGGUGAGUAAUGCCUAGGAAUCUGCCUGGUAGUGGGGGAUAACGUCCGGAAACGGGCGCUAAUACCGCAUACUAUCAGAUGAGCCUAGGUCGGAUUAGCUAGUUGGUGGGGUAAAGGCAUACCAAGGCGACGAUCCGUAACUGGUCUGAGAGGAGAAUCAGCCACACGGUCACUGAGACACGUUCCAGAGUCCUACGGGAGGCAGCAGGGGGGAAUAUUGCACAAUGGGCGCAAGCCUGAUGCAGCCAUGCCGCGUGUAUGAAGAAGGCCUUCGGGUUGUAAAGUACUUUCAGCGGGGAGGCGUUACCCGCAGAAGAAGCACCGGCUAACUCCGGGCCAGCCGCCGCGGUAAUAC
rnacentral:rRNA from 1 species